rfam:Salmo salar isolate Sally breed double haploid chromosome ssa21, whole genome shotgun sequence.
AGGGGGAAGAUGUAAGUCGCUCUGGAUAAGAGCGUCUGCUAAAUGACGUAAA